GAGCGCGAGGCUCUACAACUACGACAUUGAGCAGAAGACGCAAACACAAAUCACUGCGCUACCAACAGCGUCACACGUUCGCUGCCGAUUACACAAUAUUUCCCAUUUCGUAACCUCUUGAAAGGAACAAUCUACUUGUCACUCUCAUCCAAUAAUGUGAAAAACAACGAAAGUGGCAGCAAAAAGCAGGAUGGAAGUGGCGGGAUGGAUGGUUCACAAAGAGAUCAGCAGGGAUUUCUAGUUUUCCUUAGUAUUUUUUAUUUUUUUUUAACUUUGAGUAAACAUGGUGCAGUAUCAUAAUCUGAGUCAGCAUUAUUGCAUGCUCAGAGGGAAAGUCUAUCUAUAGUGCUCAAUAUGUAAUUCAGAAGAAAAAAUCAGUCCAAGGUUGAUGGAUGAUAUCUGACCUCUCACUUCAUUGCUUUCUCUUGUUCUCUUCCUCUGUUCUCGCUCCACUCACAGCUGUGCUCUGUGUACUGCAGAUCCUCUGUGACCUCAUAAAGCUGAAUCUCUUUAAUAUGGUUUUAUAUUAAAUCUGGGCCGCUUUUAUUCGACUCCAGACUCUUUAAUCUUAAAUCACUUAAAUAUUCACAGCUACGCUGCUGCUGAAUCGAUUCAGCGCCACACACACAUGCACACGGUCUAGCUGUCUCACACUCAGGCAACGUCCUCUGACAAUUCAUGAUAGAACUAUAAACACAGACAUUACUAAAUAAUGUAAUAAAAGCAUCAUUAUAAUAGCUCAACCCACCCAGAAAGUCUGGAACAAGUUCUAAACACACGCACGCGAACGCGCAACAACAGCAUUUGCCAAAACACACACAGGCGCACAUAAACAAACAAAUGUAUCAAACCAAACCAAACCAAA